GUGCUUACCUUGCAGGAAGGUACAAUGAUCACAAAGGUGGUUUUCCCAGGGUGACGUUUAUCCUUUGCACUCUGGAUGUGCUGACCUCUUCGAUUUCCCCAAAUGUGGCAAACUACACUUUGCAAUUUUUUUUUUGUCUUUUGGGCCAUACCCGGUGGUGCUCAG
rnacentral:snRNA from 1 species